rnacentral:rRNA from 1 species
AUUGAACGCUGGCGGCGGGCUUUACACAUGCAAGUCGGGCGAGUGGCGGACGGGUGAGUAACGCAUCGGAAUGUGCCGGAUAAAGGGGGAUAACUGUUCGAAAGGACAGCUAAUACCGCAUACUAUCCGAGGGGCCGAUGUCGGAUUAGCUGGUAGGUGGGGUAAAGGCCCACCAAGGCGACGAUCAGUAGCGGGUCUGAGAGGAUGAUCAGCCACACUGGGACUGAGACACGGCCCAGACGCCGAGGGGAGGCAGCAGUGGGGAAUAUUGGACAAUGGGCGCAAGCCUGAUGCAGCCAUGCCGCGUGUCUGAAGAAGGCCUUCGGGUUGUAAAGUACUUUUGUCAGGGAAGCGUUACCCGAAGAAGAAGCACCGGCUAACUACGUGCCAGCCGCCGCGGUAAUUC